AGAGUUUGAUCCUGGCUCAGGGUGAACGCUGGCGGUGCGCCUAAUGCAUGCAAGUCGAGCGAACCUGUGACUUCGGUCACACAUAGGUUAGCGGCGGACGGCUGAGUAACACGUGAGUAACUUGCCUUUUGGUGGGGUAUAGCCCAGAGAAAUCUGGAUUAAUCCCGCAUAAGAUCUUAGAACCCUGGUUCUUUGAUGAAAGCCUUCGGGCGCCGAAAGAGAGGCUCGCGGACUAUCAGGUAGUUGGUGGGGUAAUGGCCUACCAAGCCUAAGACGGUUAGCUGGUCUGAGAGGAUGAUCAGCCAGAGGGGGACUGAGACACGGCCCCCACUCCUACGGGAGGCAGCAGCAGGGAAUCUUGGGCAAUGGACGAAAGUCUGACCCAGCGACAUCGCGUGGAGGAUGACGGCCUUAGGGUUGUAAACUCCUUUUAUAAGAGAAGAGUAAGGACGGUACCUUAUGAAUAAGCCCCGGCUAACUACGUGCCAGCAGCCGCGGUAAUACGUAGGGGGCGAGCGUUACCCGGAAUCACUGGGCGUAAAGAGAGCGUAGGCGGUUUGGAAAGUCAUUUGUGAAAGCUCCUGGCUCAACUAGGAGAGGUCAAGUGAAACUUCCUGACUUGAGGACGGUAGAGGUAAGCGGAAUUCUUGGUGUAGCGGUGAAAUGCGUAGAUAUCAAGAAGAACACCAGAGGCGAAGGCGGCUUACUGGGCCGUUUCUGACGCUGAGGCUCGAGAGCGUGGGUAGCAAACAGGAUUAGAUACCCUGGUAGUCCACGCC
rnacentral:rRNA from 1 species